rnacentral:rRNA from 1 species
GGCCUUUUGAAUUUAAUUUAAGGUCUGGCCUGCCCACUGAAAAUUUUAAAGGGCCGCGGUAAUUUGACCGUGCUAAGGUAGCAUAAUCAUUAGUUUUUUAAUUAAAAGCUGGAAUGAAUGGUUAGAUAAAAAAAUAACUGUCUUAAUUUUAUAAUUAUGAAUUUUAUAUUUAAGUUAAAAAGCUUAAAUUAUUUUAAAAGACGAGAAGACCCUAUAGAAUUUUAUAUUAUUUUAAAAUUUAUUUUUUAGUAAUUAAAAUUUUAAUUUUAAAUUAAUAGUUAAUUGGGGUGAUUAGAAAAUUAAAAAAACUUUUCGAUAAAUUUACAUUAAUUUAUGCUUAAUUGAUCCAUUUAUAUGAUUAUAAGAAAUAAUUACCUUAGGGAUAACAGCGUAAUAUUUUUUUUAAGUUCAUAUUAAGAAAAUUGAUUGCGACCUCGAUGUUGGAUUAAAUUUUAAUUUUGGUGUAGAAGCUAAAAAUAUUAGGUCUGUUCGACCUUUAAAAUUUUACAUGA